UCCGGGGAGAUUAGGCGCCCGCAACAAGGGAGAUUUAUCGCGGGCGACUAAUCUCCCCGUCUGUCACGGCCCUAAGGAAGUUUAGCUGAUGCAAAGCAAACAAACAUGUCCGUAAGAAAUCUGACCUCUAAUGUGUCAGAUAAUAAAUGGUAAUGUAUGAAGGCACUAAUUGUAAAGGAUGACAGACUUUUGCAAAUACCCGCUUCCCUUUUCUCUGCCAUUUUUUCAUGCCCAUAUUUCCCAACCCUUACUUGAAACAGCAAUAAUGUACUAUGAAAUAAUGGAAAUUGGGGUAAAUAUGUUAUGGCCAUAUCCUGUUGAGGUACAGCUAACAUGGUUUUCUCUUUCAUCUCUAUCAUUCACAGAAGGUGCUUGGUGCGGAUGACACCAUGUUGAAUGUUGAUCCAACGACUGGUAUUUGCCAUUUGCUCUAUGACAGUGCCCCCAGUGGACGUUUUGGGACAAUGACUUAUCUCUCUAAAUCAGUAGCCAUCACCCUGCAGGAGUCCUUACCCCACAGCGGAUGUUCCAUGCAGUGACAUAUACAGUCUGUUUACACUAAAGCUGCUGGUAUCCUGAGAGCCACUGUGAAGGAGUAACCAAAAGUAAUGGGCCAGCAUGGUGCAUUCAUUAAUAGAGGCAUAUGGGCUGCUCAAAGAGAUGGGGUGGGGUCAGAUACUGCCAUUGUGUCAGUCACUCUCAGAAAGAAUUAUACCCAGAAGGUGCUUGGUGCGGAUGACACCAUGUUGAAUGUUGAUCCAACGGCUGGUAUUUGCCAUUUGCUCUAUGACAGUGCCCCCAGUGGACGUUUUGGGACAAUGACUUAUCUCUCUAAAUCAGUAGCCAUCACCCUGCAGGAGUCCUUACCCCACAGCGGAUGUUCCAUGCAGUGACAUAUACAGUCUGUUUACACUAAAGUUGCUGGUAUCCUGAGAGCCACUGUGAAGGAGUAACCAAAAGUAAUGGGUAAGAUGUGCAAAUAUCAGCACUAGUCUUCAAGUGCAGGCACUAGCAGUGCUUUCUAACAUGAUUUUUACAUAAGGAUUUUGGACCUGCUAUAUGAUCCUGAUACUUCUGCAUAUCCUAGUGAAAGAAUAUAUUUAAAGAAGCAGACACGCAAAACAAAUCAAAUUGUUCAAGGAAAGUAUACUUCAAAGUAAAAAUCUAACAUAAAAGGAAUAUACGUAUACCCUAUACAACUGAAAAAGUUAUACAACACAAUCAGUUUAGAUAUGAAAAUGUAAAAGGAGAUCAAUUUUUCUUUGACAUAGCAAAAAGAAAAAUGUCUUAUAACCUGCAUAGCUGGCAGAGGGACUUGGUACUGUUAAUCCCAGUGUAGUUACCAAAUUGCAGUAAAAAUGAAAUUUUUCUAUAGCAAUUGAACUCCUAAAGCAACUGUACAUAUCUUGAUGGAAGGAAGACCAGAUCAGUUAUACCAUUGUACACUUGAAGUUAGCACUUAAAAUUCUGUUCCUGUGUGACAUUUAUGGAUGCACCAGAUCCAGGAUUUAGUUAGGCAUUUAAACAAAUCCUAACUAUGUUCACAGUAGCUAAUUUUUUAGUUUCUGCAAAUCUGAAUAAAAUGCUGAAAGGAGAAAGGUGGGAGGUGCCAAGUUGCCACCCUGUCUUUAAUUCUAUUUGGUAACCUCAGACCACAGGCUGCCACUCUUUUUUUUUCCCAUAAAAGCACUGUCCCUGGGUACUUUACUUCUCUCCCUGCUUCUAUGGUGCCCCUGCAUUUCCUGCAUUACCCUAGGCCUAGGUGAUCACAUGUGCAGGAGUGAAAUCUUUGCUGAUUUCAGUGAUCUACAAGUGUACAGCGUGCUGGGACAUUGGAAGAGUAUAGCAAAUGAAUAGUACCUGGGGCUGUGAAUUUCUGGAAAACAAUGAGGGGUGCUGCUGGGGUCUGAAAUAAGUGGCUACUAAAAUCACUGGAGGAGGGAGGGCAGAUAACUUGCCACACCUCAGUGACUCUCCCUUUCCUUGUCCUUUAUUAUCAUGUUACAAUUGGCAGAGACACAGUUUUCAAUAUACAAUAUUAAUGGAGGAUCCUCUGAUUUACAUGUUAAAAUUAGGUUUAGGGUUUGGUAUCCAUCUAAAGCUUUUGCAAAGGAUUCAGUAUCUAGCUGAAUGCAAAAAUUAUGGAUUCAGUGUAUCCCUUUUACAAAAUUACUGAAGGUGGGCAAAUUUGCUCUGGUAUAGUAACCCAUAACAGCCAGUUACAAUUUUGAUGUGCAUGUACAAGAUGUGUAUGUACCUCCAGUGUAGAGAUUUCUGUUUGUCUGGGAUCAGUUAUACCAUCUAUUGCAGUAAAUGCACUGAGAUCUAUUCUUGUAAAGACUGCUGUACAAUUGCUGCUUCCAGCACCCUUCCAGUACUUCUAGCAUUGUAUCUGUUACUCGCCUCCUUCAACCAACAAGUAUACAGCUACAGUGGGUUAAAGGGGUGGUACAACUUUAAGUUAACUUUUAGUAUGUUAUAGAUUGGCCAUUUCUCAACUUUUCCUCAUUUUUUAUUUUUUUUAUAGUUUUUUAAUUAUUUUCCUUCCUCUUCUUCCUCUUUGAUUCUUUCAGCUGGGGGUUAUUGACCCCAAUCGGCCAAAAAACUAUUACUUUCUGAGGCUACAAUUUUAUUGUUGUUGUUUUUUAUUACUUUCUGUUCAGGCCUCUCCUG